rnacentral:rRNA from 1 species
UACGUAGGGUGCGAGCGUUGUCCGGAAUUAUUGGGCGUAAAGGGCUCGUAGGCGGCUUGUCGCGUCGGGAGUGAAAACUCAGGGCUUAACCCUGAGCCUGCUUCCGAUACGGGCAGACUAGAGGUAUGCAGGGGAGAACGGAAUUCCUGGUGUAGCGGUGAAAUGCGCAGAUAUCAGGAGGAACACCAGUGGCGAAGGCGGUUCUCUGGGCAUUACCUGACGCUGAGGAGCGAAAGUGUGGGGAGCGAACAGG